rnacentral:rRNA from 1 species
UGCCAGACUCCUACGGGAGGCAGCAGUGGGGAAUAUUGCACAAUGGGGGAAACCCUGAUGCAGCGACGCCGCGUGAGUGAAGAAGUAUUUCGGUAUGUAAAGCUCUAUCAGCAGGGAAGAAAAUGACGGUACCUGAUUAAGAAGCCCCGGCUAACUACGUGCCAGCAGCCGCGGUAAUACGUAGGGGGCAAGCGUUAUCCGGAUUUACUGGGUGUAAAGGGAGCGCAGGCGGCGCGGCAAGUCUGAUGUGAAAGCCCGGGGCUCAACCCCGGGUCUGCAUUGGAAACUGUCGAGCUAGAGUGUCGGAGGGGUAAGUGGAAUUCCUAGUGUAGCGGUGAAAUGCGUAGAUAUUAGGAGGAACACCAGUGGCGAAGGCGGCUUACUGGACGAUGACUGACGCUGAGGCUCGAAAGCGUGGGGAGCAAACAGGAUUAGAUCCCCGAGUA